AGCUCUCAUUGUGGCGUUCGUGUGCAGCCUUGUUCAUUGUGGCCAUUUGCUAAAUUUUCGUGCCCAGAGCGAGUCGCUGCGUGUGAAGAGCCAGUGGCAUCGAUGUUUCCACAGCGAGUCACUGAUCAGCGCGCUGCUGUUGGCAGGUUUAGUUGAGGUUAGGGUGGUCUGUCGAGGAGCUCCCGCCCCCUGCGACUUGUCCACCGGUCUGCGGGGGAGUUGAGCCUGGUUGUAAACCUCCACACGGUACGGUUCUCAGAGUAAUGGCUGUCUACAAGAAGACGGUAAGAAAAGCGUUUCAGUGAAAUAAUACCUUCUGUUUUAAAAUGUUUGUUAAAAGAAAACGAGAGAGAGAGAUGCUUUGGCUUUUUGGUUUUUCCUUUUCAGCUGCAGACCAUCGCAGUCAUUUGAUCAGAGCGGAGGGCAGCCAAAGGCCUCAGUAUCUUGAGGAUCACAACACAAAAAGGCACAGUGUGACUGUUCCCUAUGAGCCGCCCCAGCCGGGCUCAGAGAUCACCACAAUCCUGUUCAACUUCAUGUGCAACAGCUCCUGCAUGGGAGGCAUGAACCGCAGACCCAUCCUCACCAUCCUGACCCUUGAGACUUCAGAGUACGUAUGGUUUCAUCUACCAGGAUUGGUGUGAGCUGAAAUGUAUUUGCUGGCUGUCUACAAGAAGACGGUAAGAAAAGCGUUUCAGUGAAAUAAUACCUUCUGUUUUAAAAUGUUUGUUAAAAGAAAACGAGAGAGAGAGAUGCUUUGGCUUUUUGGUUUUUCCUUUUCAGCUGCAGACCAUCGCAGUCAUUUGAUCAGAGCGGAGGGCAGCCAAAGGCCUCAGUAUCUUGAGGAUCACAACACAAAAGGCACAGUGUGACUGUUCCCUAUGAGCCGCCCCAGCCGGGCUCAGAGAUCACCACAAUCCUGUUCAACUUCAUGUGCAACAGCUCCUGCAUGGGAGGCAUGAACCGCAGACCCAUCCUCACCAUCCUGACCCUUGAGACUUCAGACGGACAACUUUUGGGCCGAAGAUGCUUCGAGGUGCGUGUCUGCGCGUGUCCCGGCAGGGAUCGUAAAACAGAGGAGGCAAAUAGUGCCAAACUUCAGACAGGGGCCAAAC